GAAGCGGCUCCUCAUGGCUGCCUGCGUGGCUCUCACCCUCCUCAUCCUCGUGGCCAUCAUCGCCGCUUCCGUGGCUGCCGGCUGAGCCCCGCCCUCCCCACCCCAUGCUUCGUGCUGAUUGGCCGCCGCCGCGCCUUAGCCCCGCCCCCCUCGCUGCCGAUUGGACGCCGCCGCACCCUUGCCCCGCCCUCCCUCUAUUCGGAGGGGGGGGGGGGGGGGGGUGUUUGGGUUGGGCACUUCCUGUCACUAAUGGCGUCACUUCCUGUCUCUACCGAUGUCGCUUCCUGGCACUAACGGCACCGCUUCCUGUCGCUAAUGACAUUGCUUCCUGUCGCUAAUGACGUCACUUCCUGUCGCUAAUGAUGUCACUUCCUGCGGCUACAGAAGGCUCUUCCGGACAAUGCUGACAUCGCUUCUUGUCUCUACUGAAGUCACUUCCUGUUGCUGUUGAGGCCACUUCCUGUCGCUAACGGCGUCACUUCCUGUUGCUGCUGACACCGCUUCCUGUCACUGACGCCACUUCCUGUCUCUGCAGGUGUCAGUUCCUGCCACUACUGACGUCACUUCCAUCUCUACUGACAUCACUUCCUGUUGCUGCUCACGUCACUUCCUACCAUUAUUGCUGUCACUUCCUGUUGCUAUUGAUGUCACUUCCUGUUGCUACUGACGUCACUUCCUGGCACUACUGACGUCACUUCCUGUUGCUGUUGAUGUCACUUCCUGGCACUACUGACCUGUCUUCCUGACACUACGACGUCACUUCCUGGCACUACUGACGUCACUUCCUGUUGCUGUUGACGUCACUUCCUGAGUCUACUGACAUCGCUUCCUGGCACUACUGACGUCACUUCCUGUUGCUGUUGACAUCACUUCCUGACUCUACUGACGUCACUUCCUGGCACUACUGUCGUCACUUCCUGUUGCUGUUGACGUCACUUCCUGAAACUACUGACCUGUCUUCCUGGCACUACUGACGUCACUUCCUGGCACUACUGACGUCACUUCCUGUCUCUACUGAUGCCACUUCCUGCUGCUGCUGACGUCACUUCCUUUCGCUGGUUGGGAUGGGGGUCACAUGGCACUGUUCUGAGCUACCUCAGCUGUUUCCCCCACUGACCCCAUUGACCCCAUUGACCCCAUAUUGACCCCAUUGUCCUCACUGACCCUACUGGGGUCCCAUUGACCCCAUUGAGGCCCCAUUGUCCCCAUUGACCCCAUUGGGGCCCCA
rnacentral:lncRNA from 1 species